rnacentral:lncRNA from 1 species
AAGAACAACGUUGUUGUUUACGCACUAACGAUCGGAACGAAAGCUCUCACUUUCUCACUCGAUCUCGCUCUCUUCUUCUUUGUCAAGCUCUACUUUACAAUCUCUCGUUCUCCCUCUCCAUCUCACUUUUCUCAUUGUUACUUUUUUUAGUUUUACUCUUUGGUUUGUCUGUGUGGCUAUUUUGUGGUUCUUUGAUUCUUUUUUUAGGUUUUUCUGUCCGUGAUGGAUUCCCCGCCAGGUACUCCGAUUUCAUCACUCUCUCAUACGGUGGCCACUCCGUCACUUCCGUCGGCACCGAAAAAGAAAUCCCAACAGUCUAUGGCAAGGUUUAUUCUGCACUCUUUAGAUGAUAUUACCGAAAUGGUUCAGGAAAUUAUUCUAGUUCUUUGAUUCUUUUUUUAGGUUUUUCCUAUCCGUGAUGGAUUCCCCGCCAGGUACUCCGGUUUCAUCACUCUCUCAUAACGGUGGCCACUCCGUCACUUCCGUCGGCACCGAAAAAGAAACCCCAACAGUCUAUGGCAAGGUUUAUUCAGCACUCUUUAGAUGAUAUUACCGAAAUGGUUCAGGAAAUUAUUCUAAGGCCUGAGUACAGCCAAGAAGCAUUGAAUGCUGAGAGAGAAAGAAAAAUGCGCAUUUUGAUGUCACUGCGAUAGUCAUUCAUUGCUUGCGUGAGUAUGAUUCUUGUGUUGGUUGGUAACUUGGUAUGAUUCUCUGUUCCUUUAUUCCUUUCAAUUUAUAUUUGGUAAGAAUCUAAGUUUAUAGAUUUAUAUACGUUUUUAUGCCAAAAUAUAAAAUAUGCCUUCGAUCUUGAUUUUUAUGCUAAAGAAAGUACCUAUUUUAUAUUAUGAAUCUAUGUUGAAUGAUGAUACUUCUAUAGACGGAUAUGUGUUAGGUAACAAUUUAUGUGUUUCAAUUGUUUAUGAUUCUCAUUCUAAAAUCUAUAAUAAGUCUCCUAAAGCUAGUCCUCUUUAUCUUUUUAUCUUAAUAUUGUUUAUGUUCUGUCAAUGCCACUCUUGUAACUAUUCGAAUAUUUGAGUACUCAGAACCAACAUGUUCUAAUACCCUCUCAUUCACUAUCUAAGGUAUGUUCUUUUCUUUGCCAAAACUAUUUUGAAUCUAUUACUAACUUGAUCGUUGGAGUCUUUGCAGGUACCACACCCAUUGCUCAUGAGCAGGAACAAUUUUGGCAACAACAAUUGGUCAAUCUAAUCUACUUCAUAUUUGGAUAAUCAUUCUAGAAAUGAACAUGUAAGUAGUAUCUUAAUUACUGCAUCUCUUCUAUGUGGAAAAAGGUGAGAAAUUUAUGUGAUUCAAUUGUUUAUGACUCUCAUUCUAGAAUUAAUCAAUCUCUUAAAGUUAGUCCUCUUUUUCUUUUAUAUUGAUAUUGUUUAUGUUCUGUCAUGCCCCCUUCUUGUAACAAUUUAUAUCUGCAUAAUGGAUCACACAUUUUAUUGCGCUGUCGGUGGCAUGUCCCUGUCCUUCUCAACCUCCAAGUGUCGUUUGUCUGCUCGAUGUUGAAAUCGGCCUACAUUCAAGAGAUGUAAGCAUACAUGCAGUAUAUUCCACCACAAGCCUUUCUAGAUCAUAACUCCAAAUUCUAUGAUUGAGUAUUUCUUUUCAACACUUGUUAGGAUAAGGCAAUAGUAUAUAAUUGAAACCAAGAGAUCUCUAUUCAACACAUGUCCAGUGCUUCCUCUACUUACAUCAAGUGGCCAUUUUACUUCCUCUGGUUCACAAUAUGUCUGGAUUGAUGUGCAACUUUGAAGUUCUAGGAUGUCGGAUUAUGUCCUUUCUUUGUAGUGUUACAAUAUUGUUUCAUUUGGCCUAUUGUUUUAAUCUUGACCUUAAUUUGUAUAAACUUCAGUUUCCAUGACAUUGUUAUGUUUAUUUUCCUUCUUGUGUUAAUAUACUCUUAAUAAUUAAAAUAAAUAUGUUAACAUGCCUAUGUUUGGUUUUUACUUUUGGAGCAUGUAAAAUUGAUUUGAAUUGAUCUUGACAUAUUUGGUUGUCAUUGAGUUGAAUUGAUUGUCUCCUUUAGAGUUGAUUUUUAGCUUUGGAUUUAUCAAUCAACUCACUUUUACAAGCAACAUAAAUUGUUUUAACUUCAAGUCACUUUUAAUUAAAAUCAAUUUUACAUAAUCAAUAGUUAUGUUUUUUUCGACGGAAAAAUAAUAGCAAUUUUUAUUGUGAAGUAGUUUUAAUCAUCAGUUUAGCACUUGAAAGUAUAAUCAUCAUGUAAAAUUGAUUUGAAUUGAUCUUGACAUAUUUGGUUGUCAUUGAGUUGAAUUGAUUGUCUCCUUUAGAGUUGAUUUUUAGCUUUGGAUUUAUCAAUCAACUCACUUUUACAAGCAACAUAAAUUGUUUUAACUUCAAGUCACUUUUAAUUAAAAUCAAUUUUACAUAAUCAAUAGUUAUGUUUUUUUUUACGGAAAAAUAAUAGCAAUUUUUAUUGUGAAGUAGUUUUAAUCAUCAUUUUAGCACUUGAAAGUAUAAUACAGUGUAAUUUUGAAUAUGUUAAAGUUUAAAACUGAAUACUCCUUUUUUUUUUAAACAAAAUAAGUGCUAUAUUUUUAUUGUUUUUAACUUAUGUUGAUGAUCUUGUUAUUCUUGGAACCUGUCUACUUGAUAUACAAAGUAUUAAAACAAUUACUAGAUAGAAAGAUCAAUAUUGAAGAUUUUGAAAUAUUUAAAUAUCAUUUGGAUUUUGAAGUGGAUAUUUUCUUACCCAAAGGAAAUAUACCCUUGACUUGACUUGAAGUUUAGGGUUGUUGGCUUCUUAACCAACUUCCACAUUCAUGAAUUUGGUUUUAAGCUUUGAUUAAAAUUUUGACAACCCUUAUGUGAUCCAAUUGGUUUUUGAAAACAAAUGGAUAGAUUGACAAGAAAAUAAAUUUAAUUCACACUAGAAUAAAAAUAAUAUAAUCAAAUUUACUGAUGAAUAAAACAAAAAGUAUAUUAAUAAUACACAUAAAAAUUGCAGAAAUUAAUGAAAAAUAAUCUAAUCAAAAUCUUCGCAAAAAAAAUUAUUUGUUGGUAUUUGUUUAUAUCGAUUAAAGGUGAUAUUUGACAUGACGAAUUCAACUACGUAUUGAUAAGUUAUUUAUAAGGUUGAGAUAGUGUUGAAUUUGGUGUUAGUCUCCAUAAAUUUGUUGUCUAAAAUAUAGUAUCGAUAAAACGAGUCAUUUGAUUUUAUAGACACCACACUAAAAUACAAAAACAAAAUAUAACAUACUAUGAUGACAAACAAAUCAAUGUUGCACUCAGAUGACUAAAUCGUAAAUAAAACACACAAAAAAGAAGUAAAUUUGUGUAGAAAAUCAAUUAUUUAAUUAAAAGCAUGGAAUAAAAUAAUUUAGAUAAUUAUUUUAGAUUAAAAAAAAAAGAAUAACCUUAAGUUACCCCUCUAAUAAACAAAGAGGAAGAGAAGCUGUGUUAUUUUUUUAGGAGGGGAAGUUAAAAAACAACUUUAGGCGGCUACUUGUAAAUUCCUCGACAUAUCUUAUGUUGUUUGUAUAAGUUAUACAUCGAUUCCUCUCUUCUCUUUUGCCACUCAUCUCUAGGUUGCAUUAAGGAUUCUAAAUUAUUUGAAGGUAAACUAGUGAAAGAUUUUUCACAACAACAUCCAUUAUUAUGUUCCAACUCUCUAGUUGUUUUGCGAUUCUUAGUGGAACUCAUAUAAGAUCUAGAAGAUAACAACAAACUUUUGUUUCUCUCUUGGCAACUCUUUAAUUCCAUGGAAAAUUAAGAAACAUUCAAUUGUUUCUCAUUCUUCAUCACAGACAGAAUAUAGAGCUUUAGAAUUCUAUUAUUUUAAUAUAUCGUUUGAUUGUUUAAAAACAAAGUCAUGUCCAUUAAUAGUUGUGAUGUGUCGACGGUGUAAAAAAAUUUACACUAACCGUGAUUAACAAUUAAACUCUUAAAUUUAUGGUACAAUAAAUAAAAUAGAUUAUUAUUAUUGUUGGUAUAUAAAUUAAUAUAAUUAUAAAAAAAUUACAUAAUUAAUAACUUUUUUGUUUUUACAGAAGAAUAAUAGAAAUAAAUUUUUAUUUAGUUUUAAUCAUCAACUUAGCACUUGAAAGUAUAAGACGCUCAUAACUGAAUACUCUUUUUUUAAAAAAAAAAAAAAAUAAGUACUUUUUUUUAUUAUUUUAACUUAUGAUGAUGAUCUUGUUAUUGUUGGAACGUGUGUACUUGAUAUACAAAGUACUAAAACAAUUACUAGAUAAAAAGUUCAACAUUGAAGAUUUUGAAACAUUAAAAUAUCUUUUGGAUUUUGAAGUGCUUACCCAAAGGAAAUAUACCUUCGACUUACUUGAAUAUCAGGGUUGUUGGCUCCUAAACCAACUUCCAAAUCCAUGAAUUUGGUUUAAAGCAUUGUUUAAAUUUUUUACAACCCUUAUCUGAUCCAAUUGAUUUUUGAACACAUAGAUACAUUGUUUUAUCUAAAAAUAUUAGUAUAUAUAUAUUGACAAUAAAUAAAUUUAAUUCACCCUAGAAUAAAAAUAACAUACAUAAAAAUUAUAGAAAUUAAUGAAAAAUCACAUAAUCAAAAUCGGAAUCUUAACAAUCAAACUAUAGUCUUCUACCAGUCAAUGGCUAAGAAUAAUGUGAUAUGUACGAUCUUUAAUGUCAUCCAUAUUCGAAAAAAAGAAAUAUUUGUUGAUGUUUGUUCAUAUCGUUUAUAGGUAAUAUCUGACAUGAAGAAUUCAACUAUAUAUUGACAAGUCAUUUGUAAGAUUGAUUCCUCUCUUCUCCUUUUUCUAUUCAUCUUUAGGCUGCCUUAAGGAUUCUAUAUUAUUUGAACGUAAACUAGAAAGAUUUUUCACAACAACAUCCAUCAUUUUGUUCCAACUCUGCAAUUGCCCUAUUACUAGGGUAAUUUUUAUAAUAGGGUAAUUUUUCUGGUUUUUAUGUUGUAGUAUUUAAUCGGGACGACGUGUUUAAGGCAAAUUGUAAUGGUGAGAUUAAUUGGGAUUGGAUAACGGGUCUUAUUGUUUUUGGUUGCAUGUAAGUUGUCUGGUAAAAAGAUGGUAAUGCUAAUGGGGCUAAUGGAGUAAACAUGUUUUGGUUUGGUGGAGGAAGAAGAGAGAGUUUGUAAUACAUGUUUCAUAGUGGGUGUUUUUGUAAUUUUUUUUCACUAAUUGGGGAUUCAUACUUAUCUUUAUGACUCAUUGUGCUUUCCCUGUAAAAAUUCUCUUGUAAGAAAAUUUGGUAAUGAGUUUUUCUCUCCUUUAAUAUGUUCUAUUUCGUAAUCAAAAUAAGAAAGUAAAGAUUGCCAUCUAGCAAAACUAUGUUUCGAAACCAGGUUUUUAACAUCCUUUUGCAAAACAUCUUUUUCUGCUUUAUAAUCAGUUUUUAAUAAAAAUUUCUUUGAAAAUAAGUCAUCUUGAAAUUUUGUAAUGCAUAAAACAAUUGCCAAAAUCUCUUUUUCAACAGUACUAUAUUUUAGUUGAGUUGGGUUCCAUAUUCCAGAGUAAUAUCUCACUAUUUGCUCUUUUGGGUUUCCUGGUAAUUUUUCUUUUAACACUCCACCAUAACCUAACUCUAAUGAGUCAGUCUCUACUACUAAUAGGGCUUGAGGGUCUAGAAUUCCUAAGCAAAGUAAUUUUUUAAUUAUUUGUUUUUAGGUUUUGACACUAUCGGCCAUAGUCUCAUCCAAUUUGGGUGGAUUUUUUCUUAGUCUUUUAAAUAAAGGUGAACAUAUAAUCCUAAGGUUGGGAAUAAAGUCUGCUACAUAAUUUACACUUCCUAAGAAUCUUUGUAAUUGAUUUUUGUCUUUUAAUUCAUUAUGAAAAUUUUCUCCAAAUUCUAUUGACCUACUAAUUUGUGUUAUUGUUCCUUGAUAAAUGUUGAAUCAUAAAAAUCUAAUAUUAUCCUGAAAUAAUUUAAUUUUCUUGGCUGACACCACUAAUCAUUUUUCUUUAAUAAUAUUAAAGAAUUUUUUCUAGAUGUUCAAAGUGUUGAUUAAUACUUUUUGAAAAUACUAAUACGUCAUCUAAGUAUACAAUAGUAAAAUGUUGUAAUUAUUAAAAAUGUCAUUCAUAAUAUUUUGGAAUUCACUGGGUGCAUUCUUUAAUCCGAAGGGCAUAACAUUCCAUUCGUAAUGUCCAAAGGGUACUACAAAGGCUUUUUUAUAAUUAUCCUCUUCUUUUAUUUGUAUUUGGUAAUAUCCUGAUUUCAUNNNNNNNNNNNNNNNNNNNNNNNNNNNNNNNNNNNNNNNNNNNNNNNNNNNNNNNNNNUUAUAAUACUUUAUUUAAUGGUUUAUAAUUUAUAACUAAUCUGGGGGCUCCUCUUUCUAAUUUUGUUGAGUUCAUUACAUAGAACCCUACACAACUCCAGGGAGAUUUACCAGGUCUUAUUAAUCCUUUAUCUAAGUAUUCUUGUAUUUCCUUUUUACAAUAAUCUAGGUAUUGUUGAUUCAUUUGUAUUGGUCUUGCCUAGGUGGGAAUGUUUCUCUCAUUAAAACUGGGUUCAUAAGGAAGUGAGACCACAUGCUUCUUUCUUGUCCAGAAAGCAUUGGGGGUGAUCUGCACAAAUUUCUUUUUCAAAUUUAUCUUGUAUAAUUUUAUUUUGUAAUUGUUCUUCUAUUCUUUUAUAAUGAAUCUCUUUGUUUAUCAUCCCUAUUUGUUUCUUCUUUUUAGAGAUUAAAUUAAUUUUAUUAUGACUUGAUGUCGAUGCUUCCUGUAACAUUUAAUUAUUUAAUUUUGGGUUUUUGAACAACUUCAAAUUUUAUUGUUUUUCCUAAUGCUUUUUUAGUAAGACCUUCAUGUGAUACAGUGAAUGGGUAUAUUAAUGCUAAGAAAGGGUUUUCUAUAAUUACACUUUCUCUAAUGUCUUUUACUAAUAAAUUGAAGUAUGAUAACAAAUUCCAUUUUUACAUACCUUUGCAUCAAGUAAUUUAUAAGUAACACCUAAUCUAGAACCAUUGGCUCCAAUUAAUCUUUCUAGGGUUUUUUCGUAAUAUUUAGUGGGUAUUAAUCCUUCUUGGAUACAAUUAGAGUUUGCACCAGAAUCAAAUAAUGCAUUAAACUCAAAUUUUUUAUUUUUAAUAAUUAUAGUUAUUGGACAGUACCAUUUGUGUACAAUUAAUUUAUUUAACAAAAAUAAAUAAGGUUCUUAUUCUUUUAUAUCAUUAUUAUUACUACUACUUUCUAACUUAAGUUGUUGUUCUAAUAUACUUUUUUCUUUUAAUUCUAAAUACUUAACAUCUAAUUCUAAAUCCUUUUGUUUUAAUAAUUGAAUUUCUUGAUUUUAUAGAAGUAAUUUCAUUCUGCAUGUCUUUAAUAGUAAUUGGUGGGGUAAUAGUGGGUUUAAAUCUAUUCAUUAUUUAUUUAAAUUCUACUUUAUGAACUAUUUCAUUUUCUAUUUGUUCUUUUUCUAUAAUUCCUUGUAUCUGAAUCAUAAAUUCUUCCUUUUGAUUUUAAUCAGGCAUUUUUCUUAAUACUUCUAUAAGAUUACUAGCUUGAUCUGUAGUAAUCAUAUUAAUUGCCUUAGUACAAUCAUUACAGUUACAUAAUUCUGGACCUAAACAAUAAUUUUCUUCUGAACUUUCUUCUGAUUAUGAUUUUUCUGAUAUAUUAUUAACAUAUUCUUCUUCAUAAGAUGAUUCUUCCGAAGAACUAGAGGAUUCAUCAAUCAACAUAAUUCCUUCUAAGAUAUUAAUAAGACUUUCUUUUAAUUCUUUUUGUAUUUCUAAUUUACAGAUUUCAUUAAUUUUUUGUUUUACUCUACAAUUUUUUGCUUAAAGUCCUAGUCUUCCACAUUUAAAACAUUUAAUUUCUUGUUUAUUAAAGACUUUUUUUAUUAGUUCUUUUAAUUUUUUGUGUUUCUUUAUAGGUUCUUUUGGGGUGUAAUUAUUAUUAUAAUUUUUCUUUUUUUAUAAUGUCUAAAUGUUUGUUUUGGAUAUCUUUUAUUUAUGUUUUUACUAGGAGCUUUAAUCGUCUCUAUUCCGAAUUGUUCACAAAAUAAUCUUAAUUCUUUUCUACUUUGUACUACUUCUGAUCUAAUUUUAUUCUGUAUUUUAAAAUCUGUGCAUAUUCCUAUUCCGAUUUCUACUACGUAAUUCGAUAUUUGUCCUAAGGUUAAUGUUCCAUAAGGAAUUAUUGUUGAUUAUUAUGACCUCGGAAUAAUCGGAAUGUAUCAGUUCUUUAAGAAAUUAAAUCAAUUUCAUACACACGGCGGAAUUAAAUUGCGGCAUACAAGAUUAGCAAUUACAAGGAGAUGGAUAAGAGAUUAACCAAGAUGCAUGCGAGUCAAAUUUCCAGUUUAAACAAUAUUACCUAACACAGAAUAUGUUUAACAUGCAUCUAAUAUUAAUCACACAUACAAAUAUUGCAAGAUAGAAAAUUAAAGGAGUUAAGGGUUAGAGAAGAUUGCACCAAGAAUUUAUCCUGGUUCGGUUGUCAACGAGACAACCUACAUCCAGUCCUGACAAUCCAAUCGGAUUUCAGAUUUUCUUCUCCAAUAGAAAGAAUCAAUUACAGAUUGUCCAGUUUCAUCCCCGAAACCUAUCUAUCUCUAAUGAUCUCUUUCCUAUUGAUUACCCUCUGAUCCUUGUAGACACUCAGCAGUCUAACACAGAAUCACAGUACGACUCCUUCUUGUUGAGACCUCUCACCCAAGAAGGUAGCCACUAGUUUCUAGCUGGCUUUCUAUCAACCCUUUGAUCCUUGUAGACACUCAGCAGUCUGACACAAAAUCAAAGUGCGACUCCUUCUUGUUGAGACCUCUCACCCAAGAAGGUAGCCACCAGUUUCUAGCUGGCUUUCUCGCUUUCGUUUCGUUUCAAAGUAUUGUUAUAGACAGAUUAAAAGAAGUACAAAAAGAAGUCUUCAAUCUUGAUCAAUGUGUCUUCUCACGAAUCUGGAUAUUCAAUGAUUGUUCAUGAGGACAUUGUCUUUUCUCUCAAGAAUACUUUUUCAGCUCUCUCAAUGAUUAUGGAUAAUCUUUUGAUCUUGAUCUGAAAGAGCAUUAUCAGAUUGUCAACAAAGUGUAUUGUGAUUUGUUAUUGAAGUUAUCUUGAGUUCUCAGAACUAUGAAAGUUAUGAUCAAGGUUCUUUUUGAAAAAGAUUGAAAAACAGUUUAUAUAGUUUCUGAAAAACAACUACUAAAUCGAUUUACCAAUCGAUUCAUUAANNNNNNNNNNNNNNNNNNNNNNNNNNNNNNNNNNNNNNNNNNNNNNNNNNNNNNNNNNNNNNNNNNNNNNNNNNNNNNNNNNNNNNNNNNNNNNNNNNNNNNNNNNNNNNNNNNNNNNNNNNNNNUCUUACCAGAUGUUUAGUUCAAUCGAUUUCCCAAUCGAUUGCAACCAAACUUAACUUGAUUGAAAUUCACACAAUAGAUUGUCUAAUCGAUUGUGUUUGUCACAGGUGAAGUUACUUUUGAAAUUUCAUUUUAAGCAAUCGAUUUGCCAAUCGAUUUCCUAAUGCCCUGUGACUUCCCAAUCGAUUUGCCAGUUGAUUAGUUUCAAUCAGUUUACAUUUUGUGAUAUGUACAAUCGAUUUGUCAAUCGAUUAACCUGUAAACCAGGUUGCCACUGACUUGUUCAAUUUUCAUUUCUAAUAUAGUCAGUCGAUUGCCCAAUCGAUUAUACAAUCACAAACAUUUACUUUUCCUUACACCCUUGUUAUGAAAUCAAUUUCCCAAUCGAUUUACUCAGUGAAUAAUCAACUUUUGUUGAUUUCUUGUGUUCCAAGCAAUUUGUUCCAAGUGUGUAGGAUUGAAUUGGUGUUCCUGAAAUCUUGCUCAAUUGAAAUGUUAGAUUUAUCAUAUGAUGUAUGAACAUUGUAUGUUUGUUAAUUAUGUCAAAAUUAGGAUUCAAAGGACUAAAGUCCAACAAUUAUUCCAUUAAAUUUUGAUUUAAUAUUCAUUUUAACUUUUUUACUAAAUAAUUUAGGUAAUCCUGCUAAAAAUCUCUCUUUCCAAUAAUCUACAUUUCCACCUGGUCUUAUAUAUAAUUUUGACAUAAACAUGUCUUUAUACCAUCUAUAAUAAGACAUGGAAGGGCAAUGAAGAGUAACUAAUUGUUCAACACCCCUUUCUUGUUAUUGUAAUGGGUCUCUUACAAACACUUUCGUGAUAGCAUAUAAUAGGGUAUUUACUGAGUCUUCUUCUAUUGGUAUUCCAUUAUUAUCUACUUUAAUUGUUGUUAAUAUCAUAGUUUUUUCUUAUUCAGUAACUAUAUUAUCCCACCAUCCUUUUAAUUGACCAGUGAGUCCAGUGAUUAAUAAUAACGCUGCCUUUUUAUCAGUAUUUUUCCCUGAUGUUUUAAAGGCGGUGGCUGCCAUAGUCAUGGCCUGAAUAAUAUUUAAUAUGUUUUGUUCACUAUGUCCAUCUAUGUUCCAUUCAAUAAUAGAAUCUCCACUAUAGGUUACGGAGGUCAUGUAGUAACUUUCUUCAAAUUGUAAGUCUGGAUAGCUAAGUCUAGGGUAAUAAUUUCUAGUUUUACCUUGAUAACCAAUAUUUUUCAUAUUUUUAAUUUUGUUAAUUUCUAACUCAUUGGGGUCUUGUGAUAAUACAUUGACUUGAGAAUUAUUUGUGAUUGUCAACCUUUUUAAUUCAUCAGAGUUAUUUUUUAAUUUUGCUUCUUUUAAUUCUUUUUCAGGUCCAUUUAUUAAUUUAUAAAUAGGGCUUUUUGGAUCUAGUUUGUAAUCCUUAUAUGAAUUUAUUUCACUAUGCGUACUGGGGUGGUUUUUACUCACUUGUAAUUCUACUCUAUCUAAUUGUUCAGCCAUAGUAUAUAAUAUUUGAUUACUAAAGUUUAAUUGAGUUUGGACUCUUCCUAUUUCUUUAUUUUCAUGAUUUGGAUGCUUAAUUGUUUUAAAGGGUGAAGCUUCAAAUAUAAUUCCAUUCUUUUCUAUUUUUAUUGUUUCUAAUGGAGGAUGUAUAGAUUCUAUUAUUUUAUCAUCUACAAUCUUCCAUUUAUUACUUAUUUUAGUAUUAACAUUUAUGUGAUUAUUUCUAAUAAAAGGGUUUUCUAUAUUAUUUUCUAAACAGUAAUUUUCAAACCAGUUAAAGAAAUAAAUAUUUAAUCUUAUUUCUUUAAGGUACGCAUAAUAUUUUUCUCUAUAAUCACUUGUUAUUUCUUUUGAGAAAGUAUCAAAAUACCAUUUUCUUUUAUCUGUAUUAUAAUCUGCUUCGAAAUCUUCUGUUAACUAGACUUUGUCUAUUUCAAAUUCUUCUUCUAAUUAAUUUACUCCUGUUGAAGUUGUGGGAAUUUAGAGAAAACGAUGAGAGAAAAUAAUCACUACGCGAAAAAUGGUAUUUUACAGCGUUUUUUUUAAGCCAUUACAGCGCUUUUUCAAAAAAUUAAGCGCUGUAGUAUCCAGCGCUGUAAAAAGAUACAACAGCGCUCUUUAAAAUAAAUAAAAAGCGUUGUAAAUCUCUUCUAAAAACGUGCUGCUUGUUGUAUUAGUUUUACGGCGCUUUUUAAAAAAAGCGCUGUAAUAUGCAUUCCUUUAUUUCAAUUAGAUCUCUUUCUGGGAUUAUAACAACAAUCUCCUUCAUAAAUCGUAAUAUACAGUAUCCGCAGUCUAUGUUGUUAGUUUGACGAGAGCACUAUAAAAUAAAACAUAUAAGUCAAUAAAUAUUUGUGGAUUGAUUGUUAAUGAAAUUUUAAAGCCAUACAUUUCAAACCUUUAUUAGAAUCCAUGUGAUUUAUUUGAUUUUUGCUUCGACACUGUAGCACCCAUUUGAGCUCGGAAAACUUGUAAAACACUAUCAAAUAAAUGUGAUUAUUAGCAUUAACAGACACAUUAUAUAUAUAUAUAUAAGAAAUAAAUGAAUAAAUGAAUACAAUACCUGAAGAGUGCGAAGAAAUACGUAGAGUUCAUAAGGUUACGGUUUCGUUUAAGAAGAAACAGCGAAGCCUAUUACAGCGCUUUUUUUAAAAAGCGCUGUAAAAGACCUUCUUAUUUUAUUUUUUAAAAGCCUAUUACAGCGCUUUUUUUAAAAAGCGCUGUAAAAGACCUUCUUAUUUUAUUUUUUAAAAGCCUAUUACAGCGCUUUUUUUAAAAAGCGCUGUAAAAGACCUUCUUAUUUUAUUUUUUAAAAGCCUAUUACAGCGCUUUUUUUAAAAAGCGCUGUAAAAGACCUUCUUAUUUUAUUUUUUAAAAGCCUAUUACAGCGCUUUUUUUAAAAAGCGCUGUAAAAGACCUUCUUAUUUUAUUUUUUAAAAGCCUAUUACAGCGCUUUUUUUAAAAAGCGCUGUAAAAGACCUUCUUAUUUUAUUUUUUAAAAGCCUAUUACAGCGCUUUUUUUAAAAAGCGCUGUAAAAGACCUUCUUAUUUUAUUUUUUAAAAGCCUAUUACAGCGCUUUUUUUAAAAAGCGCUGUAAAAGACCUUCUUAUUUUAUUUUUUAAAAGCCUAUUACAGCGCUUUUUUUAAAGAGCGCUGUAAAAGACCUCCUUAUUUUACUUUUUAAAAGCCUAUUACAGCGCUCUUUUUAAAAAGCGCUGUAAAAUACCUUCUUAUUUUAUUUUUUAAAAGCCUAUUACAGCGCUUUUUUUAAAGAGCGCUGUAAAAGACCUCUUUAUUUUACUUUUAAAAGCCUAUUACAGUGCUUUUUUAAAGAGCGCUGUAAAAGACCUCCUUAUUUUAUUUUUUGAAAGUCUAUUACAGCGCCCUUUUACAGACAUUUUAAAGCGCUUGUCCAAAAGCGCUGUAAAAGACCUCCUUAUUUUUUUUUAAAAACCUUUUUACAGCGCUUUUCCAAAAAGCGCUCUAAUAGGUCCUUUAAUUAUGUGAAAUCAAAGUCUUUUACAGCGCUUGUCAAAAAAGCGCUGUUGUAUCCUCCAUUAUUUUUAAAAUAUCAUACAACAACGCUUGUAUUUAAUAAGCGCUAUAAAAUGUCAUUUUUGGCGUAGUGAAUAAAGGCUUGAAUAUUAUUGAUAAUAGCUUAAUGUUGACUUGAUUACAAAAGACUCAAUAUUAAUCUCUAUUUAUAGAGAAACAUAGACUCAAUCCUAAAUCAAGAAUAAAUCAUAAUAAUGAGAGAUAUUCUAAGAUUCUCUAUGAUUAUAAGUUGAUCAUAGAAAAUAGCUCAAGAUACUCUAAUAUAAUAUAAAAGAUAUUGUAAGAUAUUUUCUAAUAUUCUAACACUCUCCCUCAAGCUAAAGCUGACUAAGCUUUAACUUGCUACAAGAUAACAAUGUUUUGCUCCGCAAAAUAAUAAAAAAAAGAUGGAAAGGCAACUCAAGGAUGCAGGUGAAGUCGAAGACAAUUGCUAUAAAUACAGCCUAGAUAGAUAGCUGGAAUGAUCUAUAACAUGAGAGAAAUUCAUGGCAAGCAGUUGAACAACGCAAGGUCCGUCCUUCUAAAAAACUGCAUUUGGAAGCUUCAUACCAAUAAUAUCAGAGACUCAAAAUAUUUAAACUUGAAUUUUUUUCAAGGAGAGAGAGGCAUGCUUCAAGUAGAGAAAGGCAAGGCCAGUACAUCUGGGACAAAGAUGGGGUCAGUGUAUCUAGGACAAAUUGCCAAGUUGUAUGCAUGUGGUUCGAAAGAAAAAAAAAACUUAAAAUAGAUCUGAAACUAGGAAGGAAAACUCAAUCUAGAUGAAUGAAACAUUAUGCAAGAAAGCGGACAGGCGCGUUUGAGCUCGUGUGGAGCAACUUUUGACCUUAAAGAAAAUCUGAGUUGGGUAGAUUGGGAGAUUCCGCACACAAUGGAAGUGGUUGUGUUGGAAAACGUUUCCAGCAGCAACGGCAGAUGGCAGCAGUAGAAGACGGGACAUCAGCAACGAUAGGCAGCAGACGGCGGCGGCAACAGAUCUACUCGCAAGCAAAUUUACCAAAAUUAGUGGCAGCGGCGACAGUAGCGAAUUGAAUGGAAAACGAGUGAAACAUGUCAAAAUGUUGAAAAAGAGAAACUAUGAUUAUAUUCCCUAACUAUUGGGAACUCAACAGCGGAAUAGAGGCAAGAUCGUUCAAGGAGGACCGAAAUCGGGUCUAGAUACCAUGUUGAAGUUGUGGGAAUUUAGAGAAAAGGAGGAGAGAAAAUAAUAAGGGUUUGAAAAUCAUUGAUAAUAGCUUAAUGCUGACUUGAUUACAAAAGACUCAAUAUUAAUCUCUAUUUAUAGAGAAACAUAGACUCAAUCCUAAUCAGGAAUAAAUCAUAAUAAUGAGAGAUAUUCUAAGAUUCUCUAUGAUUAUAAGUUGAUCAUAGAAAAUAACUCAAGAUACUCUAAUAUAAUAUAAAAGAUAUUAUAAGAUAUUUUCUAAUAUUCUAACAACUCCUUAUACCUGAGAUGUUGUUGGUGACAUCUCUGGUGACUCUAAUUCUUGACAAUCUGGACAAGGCUCAUAUAAUGGUUGAGGUAUUGAGGGUACGAAAUCCACUUAUGUUAAGUUAAUAUUAAUGGUAGAUCUUGAAUCUACUGAUUUUCUAGAGCUUGUUUCAGAUAAAUAUUUUAAUGACUUAUCAGUUAUAAAAGACUGACUUCGAUUCAUUCUAAUUCUUAUACUACCAUCCUCUUCUAAAAUAAACUGUCUAGGUUUUCUAGAUUCUAUUCUAGGUGUUGGCAUAAUUUCUUUUAAUACUCAUUCUUUUGGUAGUUUAGCAAUAAUGUCAAAAACCUUUAGUUUUUUAGGGGUUGUAAUAUUAGAAUGUUUUAGAUUUGCUUCAACAAUUACAGUUUCAUUUCUAGGUAUAUUUCUUAAUGCUUUAAAAUUAUAAUUUAUAUUUGAAACGUUAUAUUUAAUUUUGUAACAUAUAUCGAUAUUAGCUACUCCUUCAUAAAACAAAUCAUCCAUACAUUGAAUAUUAAUAACUAAAGACCUUUUAGUAAAACUGUUUUCUAAGUUCAUAGAGUAAUUUGGAUAACAAAUAAAAUAAACAGGACCAUCAUUUAAAUUUGAUUCUAAUAUAUAAAUAUUGGAUUCAUUAAAUCUUUUAAUUCUAUUAUCACGUAGCACUAAUAAUAUGGGAGUAUUUAGUCCUAACUUAUGUAAUGGUUUAAUAGCAACUUGUAUUAAUCCUAAGUGAAUAUAACGAAAUCCUUGUUUGAUAUGCUCAUCAAUUAUUUCUUCAUUUAAUAAAUUAAUAGUUUCACGAUGUUCAACUAUUGAUUUGGAAGAUUCUAAUGUAUGGCUAAUUUCCUGAGAUCUAAAUUUGUAAAACGUACUAGUUUUAUAUAUUUCUUUAUAUUUAAUGUCAGACAUAUUCCAAUUUUGUAAUUUAUUUUCUAUUUCUGCUAUUUGUAACUCUUUGUUUUGAUAAUUGUCAUGGUCAUUUUUAUUAUCUAAUUCUUCUAUAGAUAAUGAAGUAGAAAGUAUCAUGGUUUUAUCUCUUCUUCAGGAUCCUAGUUCGCUCAAGGUUCUAAGGAAUUGGGCCAUAUUUCUAUUGUUUAAACUUAAGGUUUCAAAAUCUUUCUCUUCUCACGGGACCACUGAUAUAUCUAUUCUGGGAACACCCUACCUUUCUCUUGGGAAUUACGGCUUACCAACAGAAUCAACCACAGUUGACCAACGUUUUGAUAAUUAAGAUUUUUAAAAACUUAAGUUUAAAAUACAAGAAAUAUAAUCUAAUUCCUCAGAGUCCUCUUACAAGGCUCUGAUACCAUAUUGAAGAUGAUGUAAGACCAUGAUAAACAUAAGUAUACCAUAAUUCAAUAAAGCAAAACAUAAUACAUAAAGAGUUAUGUGAAAAUAAUGGUAAAUCGUCAAGAAAUAUAUCUAAUUUAGUUGUUAAUAAGAAAACAGUUUGAAAAACUAAUUGAAAGUAAGGAAAGUUCAUAAAUUUGUUCAUGAUUAAAACUUACAAUUAUUUCUUUCAGAGAAUGAGGGAAUUGCAAGGAAACGACUGACAAACUUUUCAAUACUUUUGCGAAUGCCUUACAUAAUAAAUGACCACUUCCUUUUAUAAUGGAAGGAUGGGUCUCAAAUUACAAUAAUACCCCUAAAUUUUUUAGAUAACUUUCAAUAAAGCAAAUAGUGAAACAGUAAAAGCUAAUAAUACAUUGUCAUUUUCAAAAGUAACCUAAUCAUUCAUUACUUUAGUCAAAAGUGACCAUCAGUCGGGGAAUCUUUAAUGAUAACAAGGUGUUGUCAUAUCUUGUCUUCUUAAUAAUUCAGAUGCCUUUAAUGUCAUUUUUAUUUUUCAAUAAUUCAAAAUCAUCAUGCCUCCUUAAUAACUCAGCUACCUUUAAUAUCACAUUUUGUUUCUUUAAUAUUAUUAAAGAAAAUGGAUAAGUGGUGUCAACCAACAAAAUGAAAUUAUUUCAGGAUAAUAUUAGAUUUUUAGGAUUCAACAUUUAUCAAGGAACAAUAACACCAAUUAGUAGGUCAAUAGAAUUUGGAGAAAAAUUUCCUAAUAAAUUAAGAGACAAAACUCAAUAAUAAUAAUAAUAAUAAUAAUAAUAAUAAUAAUAAUAAUAAUAAUAAUAAUAAGUAAUCAUAAUAAUAAUAUUAAUAAUAAUAAUAAUAAUAACAAGCUAAAUCCUAGUAGAAAAGGAUAUACUAAUGCAUUACUAAAAUGGUUAAACGAAUUUGUGUCAUUUGUAAUCCAACAACCAAACAUAUGAAAUAUAGAAAUUAGAUGUCGUUGUUCUGUUUGCAAAAAUAUUGAUUUCUUAGACUUUGAAGUUGUUAACAUUUAUAUUUUAAGGAAGUAGUUUAAACCUGACUAUUAGUAUUGGACAUCUCAUGGAGAAAGUGAUCCAGAGUUGCAUGUAGAAAUUAAAAGGAAAAAUAUGCACAAGAGCGACAUAACAAUCAUUUUAAUAAAUUUGAGAGCAUGGUUUAUGAUGUUAUUGGACCACAGUAUCAAAUGCAUUAUGAUGAAGAAUUAAAGGAUUCUUCAAAUAUAGAUGAUCAAAAGUUUUAUGAUUUACUAAAUGCAGCUCAAAAGCCAUUGUGACCGGGAUGCAACGAUAACACUGAAGUGUCUUUUGUUGUUAGAUUGUUGGCAAUUAAAUUAGAGGAAAAUAUUUGUCAACAAUCUUUUAAUCAAAUAGUGACACUUAUGAAGGACACAAAAUCUUUCAAAACUUGGUCUCACUGUGGAAAAAAUAGAUUGUUGUGUAAAUGGUUGUAUGUUAUUCUACACUGAUGAAUGUAAACAAUUAAAAGAAGGCAAGUUUUGUAAUGCACCUCGUUAUGAGAAAAAAAAAAGAUUGGUAGGCAUGAAUUCAAAGAGGUACCUAUGAAAAUAAUGCAAUAUUUACCGCUAAUUCCCAAACUUAAGAGAUUAAAUGCUUCGAUGAGCUCAGCUCCACAUAUGAGAUAACAUUAUGAAAAUAGACGAGAAUCAGGAGUGAUGUGUCAUCCAUCAGGUGGAGAGACUUGGAAACACUUUGAUCAAAUUUAUCCUUACUUUGUUGUUGAACCGAGGAAUGUAUACCGAUGGUUUUACCCCAUUUAGUCAUACUACCUAACCUUAUUCAUGUUGACAGAUAAUUGUCACUCCUUACAAUCUUCCUCCAGAACUAUGCAUGACAACUCCCUACACAUUUCUCACUUUGAUUAUUCCUGGACCACAUAAUCCAAAGAGCAAGAUAGAUGAGCUCAAAUAUUUAUGGAAUGAAAGAGUGCUUACUAAAUCGAUCGCUAUUAUAUUUAUUGAUCGCUAUUAUAUUUAUUGACCGCUAUUAUAUUUAUUGACCAAUUUUUUCCAUUUAAUAACCGAACAAUUGAUCUCUAAAAGCGCUUUUUCAAUAAUUCUAAUUCAUCAUUUCUCCUUAAUAAUUCAGCUACCUUUAAUGUCACAUUUUGUUUCUUUAACAUUAUUAAAGAAAAUGGAUUAGUGGUGUCAUCCAAGAAAAUGAAAUUAUUUCAGGAUAAUAUUAGAUUUUUAGGAUUCAACAUUUAUCAAGGAACAAUAACACCAAUUAAUAGGUCAAUAUAAUUUUGAGAAAAAUUUCCUAAUGAAUUAAAAGAUAAAACUGAAUAAUAAUAAUAAUAAUAAUAAUAAUAAUAAUAAUAAUAAUAAUAAUAAUAAUAAUAAUAAUAAUAAUAAUAAUAAUAAUAAUAAUAAUAAUAGAUAUAGGAGGAGGUCGUUAACAAAAUAAAAUUAAGUUGCUAGUAUAUGCAAAAUAGGAGUGACACCUUAUUUGUUUUGAUAUAUUUACUCAACGAUAUUAAUUUUGAGGUAUUUUUUUUCUAUUAAAUGUACUUUGAUUUUUUAAAAUAUUUUAUAAUCAUUUUUUCAAUGUUUUAUUUUUAUUAUUUAUAUUACUUUUUCAUUUAUUGGAUUGCAUUGGUCAGCACUCAAGUGGAUUAUGUGGUACUUAAAUGGCUCACUGACAGUAGGUUUAAAAUUCAAAAAGAAUCAUCAUGACAAUUAACCAAUCAAAUGAUAUGUGGACUCGGAUUAUGCUGGAAACAUGGACACUAGAAAAUCAAUUUGAAGUUAUGUUUUCACUCUAUAUGGGACUGUUGUAAGUUGGAGAGCAAUUACGCAGUCGGUGGUAGCACUUUCUACAACUCAAGUUGAAUUCAUUGCGCUUACUGAAGGUGUUAAAGAAGCUUUAUGGAUGAAAGGACUUAUUGGUGAACUAGGAAUGAAUCAGAAUUGUGUUUCAAUUUAUUGUGAUAGUCAAAUUGCUAUACACUUAUCCAAGCAUCAAGUGUAUCAUAAUAAGUCUAAACCUAUUGAUAUUAAGUAUCACUUCAUAACAGAUGUGAUCGUUUCAAAGCAAGUUUCACUUGAGAAGAUUGCAAUUAAGGACAACUCAGCUGAUGCAUUCACCAAAUCACUUUCACAAGCUAAGUUCAAGCAUUGUUUGGACAUAGUUGGCUUCAAAAAAGAGUACAGAUGAAGCAAUGGUAGCAAGAUCAAUGAUUGAACUAUUCUGAUAUUGAGUCAAGGUGGAGAAUUGUGAAUAUGUGCCUCAAAUCAUCUAACUAAAGUUAGUUAAGCUUUAGUGGUUUUUAUAACUACAUUUGGCAAGGUUAGUUAUGAUAGGUGUUUAUAGUUAAUUUGCUUGUGUAUACUAUAAGUAAAGUUGUAAUAUUGUAGCAGUUGUAAUGUUGUUGUUGUAGUAGUAAGAGCUGGAAACUAAGAGAGGCAUAUGCAACUCAUCAUAGAAUAUCAUAGAGAGAUGAUUAAAAUGAGAGAAAGAAAUAUUAAUAGAAAGGCUAGUAUUGAUGGUUCAUAAAUUGAGAAGGCUUUAAUCUUGUAGAGUUCAAUUAACAAUAGUGGAUUAAUCUUGCUUGCUUGCCUGUGAGACCGAACACGUAAAUUUUUUGUGUUAUUCUUUCCUUAUCCUUCUUUAAUUUUAAUGUGAAAACUGUUUCAGAACAUUCUCUAUUUUCAGCAGAAAAACCCAAAACGUUCUACGUUUUCUGGUUUUUUCAGUUCUGUCCAAAACGUUCUACGUUUUCUGGUUUUUUCAGUUCUGUCCAAAACGUUGUCUGUUUUCAGCAGAAAAUGCAGAACGCUCUCCUUUUUAUUUUUUAUCUACAAUUGCUUGUUUUUCUGUUUUGUGGGUUAACUCUUGUUGCAGAUCCCAAUAUUGUUUUAAGAGAAUGUAUUUAUAUCAAGUUUUCAGCUAAAUAGUAAAAAUCUCAUAGGGCGUGAGGAUGGGACGUAGCUCAAAGUUAAGGGUUAAUUAGGAUAAAUUUUUGUGUGAUUUUAUUUACUUUAAUCUUGUAACCUUGUACAUUAGUCACACUGCAUCAUUGCCAUUUACAUUUUAAGGUUUGUUCCUUUCUCAACUCUUUCAAUUUUAAAUUUCUAUAAUUUUCUAGUAAUUCUUGUUUCUUACUUAACAAUUUUGAUUCUAGUUCACUUACCUAUAUUUUUAAUUUUUCAAAUAUGGUUAAAUGUGGUUGAAAAAUAAUGAAAAGACUAUCAAAUUAUUAUAAUUUCAUUUAUUGAUUUCAGAUUGAUGUUAGGUUUUUGUUCUCUUUCAAGUUUUUAUUAUUCAUUGAGAAUGUGUUAUACAUGAUAUUAUUAUUUUGCUGUUAGUUUUUUGUGCUGGUUCAAGUUUUUAUGAUUCAAUGUGGAGCAAAAUGGUUAGUUCAAAUUCUACUAUGCUACAUUGCUAUUGUGCUGCAAUAGCGGCUAUUUGACAACACUUUAUACCUAGCUAAUAGUGUAUUGUUGAACAAUACUGAUUUUAUAAAAAAGAAGAGUGGUUCAAUUAAUUAGUCCAACCAGAUUCACUUUCACUGUUGUAUUGUGAUUUUGACAUUUGAAUAUAAUUUUGAAUCAUUGUUGUUGUAUUAGUUGUUGAGUUGCUAUUUUCCAAAGUUUGAUUUUGGUUGUGAUUAAGGAAAUUAAUAUAUGAGAAAUGUAUACAUAUAUUUAAUACUUUUUCGAUUUAGGAACUCCUAUAAAAUCUAGCCAAAUAGAAAGUUCAUCCUCCAAGAAGACUGAAGAUGUCAUAAAAAAGGAAAGCUCAGAGUAUCCUCUAUCUGAGGAUGAGGAUGAACUCGCUCUGAUUUCCAGAAGAAUUCAGAGGAUGAUAAAUAGAAGAGGAUAGGAUAAAAGAUAUCGUCAAAAAGAAAAAACUGACAAUAGUUAGAUAACUUGUUUUGGAUGCAACAAUAUGGGACACUACAAAACCGAGUCCUCUAAACAAAAGAAACUCAAAAAGAUUUCCCUUCAAAAAUAAAUCUAUGAUGAUUACUUGGGAUGAUAGUGAUGAGUCAUCCUCUGAGAAAUAGAAGGAAGAAUAGGUCAACCUUUGUCUCAUGGAAAAAUCAGAUACUGAAAAGGUAAUCAUCUUAGAACUAUGUCCUACGUGUGAAAUGAGAAAUUAUCUGAGCAACAAACUUUUUUAAAUAAAAAGAAAGUCAAAAGUCAUCCUCCAGAAGAGGACACAGAAAAGGAAAUCUUGAAAGUAGAAGUUGAAGAACUAAAAAAUGACAUUAUCAACUUUGUUAAAUCUACUGAAACAUUUCAAAAGAUUAUGGGAUCUCAAUCUGGAAUCUUUGACAAAGCUGGUAUUGGAUUUAAAAGUUCUCAAAAACAAAAAUUAUACGAAAAUUUUUUCCUGCCUAAAAACAAGAGGAUAGGCCAAAAUGUACGUUUUGGAAAAAACUUGGACAUACUUUCAAAAACUGUCAUGCUAAGAAGAAAGCUGACAACAUAAAGAAAGUAAGUUCAUUUUGUGGUAAACACGAGCACCAUGAUCCUGUUUGUUAUCACAAAAGGAAAAUCCUCACAAGAGGAAAAACUAAUCAACAGGGACCCAAUGUUAUAUGGGUACCCAAGUUACUUUUAACCUCUAACACAGGUUCAUCCUCUGAUCAACAAAAGAAAGCCUUGGUACUUGGACAGUGGCAGCUCAAGGCAUAUGACAUGGAAUCUGAUUACAAACCUUUAUUAACUCCUAAUAACUAUUCCCUCUAUUUUUCAAUGGCUACAAAAUUCCUUCAAAUUCUUUGAUCAAAUCACUCAAAAACUCUGAUUAUUUAUCCUCUUCUUGGAGUGGAUAACCAACCAUCUUAUAAACCCCAGGAAGUCAUCCUCAUGUCUUGCCACAUCAACCUCUUCAACCAAUCCUCACUGUCCUUCAACCUCGUCCUCCUCUGAUGACUUUUUCUCCGUCCACAUCGACCAUUUUGAAAUAUCAGCCUCAUUAAUAUGAAGUCUCUUUAUGGUUCAAAUUCAUGUUUCAAAACUUUGGCAUAUGUUCAAGGGGAGUAAUUUUUUUGAAAAAUUUAAAAAAGUUACUCUUAUGAUUUAGGGGGAGCAUAAACAUUUUAUCUCAUAAUUUUUUUAUAUUUAAAAUCAUAAUCUAAAUAAUUGUGUCAUCAUAAAAAAGAGGGAGAUUGUUGAGACAAAAUCUCUCUCAAAUGGUUUUAAUGAUAACAAAAUUAUUUAAAAGAUUAUGAUUGUGGUUAAUGACUAAUCUGUGCUUUUGAGUGAAUUCAUAUCAUUAAGACAAAAAAGAGAAAAAUCUGAUUCAAAUCUGGAGAAUUGGAAUUCGAGAGGAUGACCUCGUAAGAGGAUAAAGCUUCAAAUCUGCAAAAUACUGAUCCUCACCAAAACAAAUUCUUUUAUUCAUUAAAGUAAAGGCAAAAUAAAGCUUUUGAAGUAAAGAAGUCAGAUGGCAAAAGAAUAGGUACGAGGAGGGAUUAUACUAGGAUGGGUUUAUGGUCAAUAUCUUGGAAAGCAACCCAACACUGUUGAAAGCAACCCAUCAUAUCAUAUGCAAAGGCUAAAAGUAGACCUAUAUAUCAUUCUUGUAUGAUUGAAAACAAUAUAGAGUCAAUCUUCAGAAAUGCAACAACAAACAAGCCAAAAAUAGAAGCCUUCACAUGUCUUGAAGAAAGGAAAUCUGACCCACGUGCUUAAGGAUGGUUCUCUAUUGUCAACAUCGCUCUCAAAAGUUGAAAAUGACCUAGCACUUCAAAGUUCAUAAUGAUUGUAGCCGACAGUCAAAGCUAUAGCCUUACAUGUCUUGAAGAAUGAGAAAAGAAAAGGACAGCUCAAGGCCAAGUUCCAAGGAGGGUGAUCCUCCUGCUCGGGGAUGGACUAAGUCUGUCCAAGGACAGUUGGAUGGCAGUUCUCUAAAUAUGAUGAAAGACUUUGGAGUUUUUGAAUUAUUUUCCCAACGGUCAUAAAGAGCUUGGCACAUGGAAGGAUCAUCACAAGACUUAUGUAUAAGGCAACAAGCCCUUCAUCAUUAAUGAUACAACAACAUUGCAUAAAAAUAUCAGGUAUCUUAAAGCUAUUAAGAGAAAUAUCCAUCAUCUCUUCAUACUUUCUAUAAUCCUACACUAGAUCUUUGAAAUAUCUUUUUAGAAAGUAUUUAAGAAAAGAGAAACAAUCAUAUUCAUAUCUCUUUGUAAUUUCCACGUGAGUUACACUUGGAAAUAGUUUGGAACUUGUAAGAAACAAGAUUGUAAGCUUAGUGAGGCUAUAGAAUACACAAAGUGUAAGUAACAUCUGUUAGAGGUUGAUCAAUUUGAUCAUUAGUGAAAUAUCACAAGUGUGUGACGACUGGACGUAGCCUUCAUUGGGUGAACUAGUAUAAAAGUUGUGUGUGUCAUUCUUUACAUUUUCUCUUUCUUUUACUCUACACAAAUUUAAAAGGCUUAAAUAACCAUCAUCGAGUUCGCAUCCUCUCAGAGAUGAUAGCUUUUAAAAAACACGUGAAAAAUAUUUUAACUAAAAUAAUAUUGGUAGUAUGAUGCAUAAUGAGAAAAUAAUGAUAGUAUACAUAAUUAGAAAAUGAUAUUUAAUUUUAUUUUAGUGGUAGAAUAGAAAAAAAACCAAAAAAAGAGACGAUUGGAAUACGCUUUAACUAGAAAAAAAAAGAGACGAUUGUAAUACCACCGCCUUAAUCCGCGAAUAACUAUCUAUAUUUAUAUUGAUCAGUUCUGUUCUCAAUCAACACAAGAACAACGUUGUUGUUUACGCACUAACGAUCGGAACGAAAGCUCUCUCUCUCUCCCUCGAUCUCGCUCUCUUCUUCUUUGUCAAGCUCUACUUUACAAUCUCUCGUUCUCCCUCUCCCUCUCACUUUUCUCAUUGUUACUUUUUUUAGUUUUACUCUUUGGUUUGUCUAUGUGGCUAUUUUGUGGUUCUUUGAUUCUUUUUUUAGGUUUUUCUGUCCGUGAUGGAUUCCCCGCCAGGUACUCCGAUUUCAUCACUCUCUCAUACGGUGGCCACUCCGUCACUUCCGUCGGCACCGAAAGAGAAACCCCAACAGUCUAUGGCAAGGUUUAUUCAGCACUCUUUAGAUGAUAUUACCGAAAUGGUUCAGGAAAUUAUUCUAAGGCCUGAGUACAGCCAAGAAGCAUUGAAUUCUGAGAGAGAAAGAAAAAUGCGCAUUUUGAUGUCACUGCGAUAGUCAUUCAUUGCUUGCGUGAGUAUGAUUCUUGUGUUGGUUGGUAACUUGGUAUGAUUCUCUGUUCCUUUAUUCCUUUCAAUUUAUAUUUGGUAAGAAUCUAAGUGUAUAGAUUUAUAUACGUUUUUAUGCCAAAAUAUAAAAUAUGCCUUCGAUCUUGAUUUUUAUGCUAAAGAAAGUACCUAUUUUAUAUUAUGAAUCUAUGAUGAAUGAUGAUACUUCUAUAGACGGAUAUGUGUUAGGUAACAAUUUAUCUGUUUCAAUUGUUUAUGAUUCUUAUUCUAAAAUCUAUAAUAAGUCUCCUAAAGUUAGUCCUCUUUAUCUUUUUAUCUUAAUAUUGUUUAUGUUAUGUCAAUGCCACUCUUGUAACUAUUCGAAUAUUUGAGUACUCACUACCAACAUGUUCUAAUACCCUCUCAUUCACUAUCUAAGGUAUGUUCUUUUCUUUGCCAAAACUAUUUUGAAUCUAUUACUAACUUGAUCGUUGGAGUCUUUGCAGGUACCACACCCAUUGCUCAUGAGCAGGAACAACUUUGGCAACAACAAUUGGUCAAUCUAAUCUACUUCAUAUUUGGACAAUCAUUCUAGAAAUGAACAUGUAAGUAGUAUCUUAAUUACUGCAUCUCUUCUAUGUGGAAAAAGGUGAGAAAUUUAUGUGAUUCAAUUGUUU